GAUGAAGAACGUAGCGAAAUGCGAUAAGUAAUGUGAAUUGCAGAAUUCAGUGAAUCAUCGAAUCUUUGAACACACAUUGCGCCCCUUGGUAUUCCGGGGGGCAUGCCUCUUCCAGCGUCAUUUCACCCCUCAAGCUCUGCUUGGUUUUGGGCCGCGCCGGCAACGGCGGGCCUCGAAAAUAGUGGCGACGCCAUCGUGCUCUCAGCGUAGUAAUUCUUCUCGCUGUUGGGUCCCGGUGGUCGUCCGCCAGCAACCCCCAACUUUCUUAAGUUUGACCUGGGAUGAGGUAGGGAUACCCGCUGAACUUAAGCAUAUCAAUAAGCGGAGGA
rnacentral:misc_RNA from 1 species